UCUUGGCUCAGAUCACAAGUGAGUUUUGGAGAUCUUGUGUCUAGAGUACAUUAAUCAAGAUCGCCCUACAGCCUACUUUGAAUGGCUGUCUGCUCAACAGAGUGCAUGGACUGGGUUAUGCUGGAGGGCUGCAGAUGAUGCUUGAGAGGUACUGGCAGAGUAUAGAAGAGCUGCAGGAAAGAAAUAGCAGGGGGCUGUGGUUUGGGAUUGAAGGGCAGUGGCCAAGUUGUGUGCAUAGGGAGGUAUGCGCUAGAAGAGGGAAAUGCUAGAAGAGUAUUGGCAAGAGACAUGUGCAGGAAGGCUGAGAGUCAGGAUGGAAAAACAUCAGCAGAAGUGGGAGUUUCAGGGAAUCAGAAUAUCCUGUCUGUCUGGACUAAACCAGUUUGAAGAGGAAGGUGUUUUGGACUCAAUCCAGAUAAAGAGUGUAUGUUUUGGUUGAGAAAUUGUAUGUCAAUUAUAAACUGGUUGGUACA